CGGAGAGAACAGCCAAAGGUGACCUCUGUCUCAAGUUGCCGCUUAGAGAUGAGUCCGCGGCCCAUUAGCUAGUUGGUAGGGUAACAGCCUACCAAGGCGACGAUGGGUAGCUGGUCUGAGAGGAUGAUCAGCCACACUGGAACUGAGAUACGGUCCAGACUCCUACGGGAGGCAGCAGUGAGGAAUCUUGCGCAAUGGGGGAAACCCUGACGCAGCAACGCCGUGUGAGUGAUGAAGGUUUUCGGAUCGUAAAGCUCUGUUUGAAGGGACGAAAAGUAUUUGAUUAAUACUCAAAUACUUUGACGGUACCUUCAGAGGAAGCACCGGCUAACUCCGUGCCAGCAGCCGCGGUAAUACGGAGGGUGCAAGCGUUGUUCGGAAUCACUGGGCGUAAAGGGCGUGUAGGUGGCUAAUUAAGUCAGGUGUGAAAUCCUUCCGCUUAACGGGAGAAGUGCACUUGAAACUGCUUAGCUAGAGUACGGGAGAGGAAGGUGGAAUUCCUGGUGUAGAGGUGAAAUUCAUAGAUAUCGGGAAGAACACCGGUGGCGAAGGCGGCCUUCUGGCCCGAUACUGACGCUGAGACGCGAAAGCGUGGGGAGCAAACAGGAUUAGAUACCCUGGUAGUCCACGCCGUAAACGUUGGGCACUAGGUGUGGGAGGUUUUUAUUCCUUCUUUGCCGAAGCUAACGCAUUAAGUGCCCCGCCUGGGGAGUACGGUCGCAAGGCUAAAACUCAAAGGAAUUGACGGGGGCCCGCACAAGCGGUGGAGCAUGUGGUUUAAUUCGACGCAACGCGAAAAACCUUACCUGGGCUUGACAUGCUGGUAGUAGUGAACCGAAAGGGAAACGAUCCUGAGCAAUCAGGAAGCCAACACAGGUGCUGCAUGGCUGUCGUCAGCUCGUGUCGUGAGAUGUUGGGUUAAGUCCUGUAACGAGCGCAACCCCUACCUUUAUUUGCCAUCAUUGAGUUGGGCACUCUAAAGGAACCGCCUCGGUCAACGGGGAGGAAGGUGGGGAUGACGUCAAGUCCUCAUGGCCUUUAUGCCCAGGGCUACACACGUGCUACAAUGGCCAGUACAAAGGGCUGCAAACCCGCGAGGGUAAGCAAAUCCCAAAAACCUGGUCUCAGUUCGGAUUGGAGUCUGCAACCCGACUCCAUGAAGUCGGAAUCGCUAGUAAUCGCAGAUCAGCGUGCUGCGGUGAAUACGUUCCCGGGCC
rnacentral:rRNA from 1 species